GGUUAAUGUGUUUUCGCUUAGAAAAAGAAGCACUGAAUGAAAACCAAUUAAAAAAUCAUCAAAUAACAGAUAAUUUUUGUUCCACAAGAAUGAAUUUCUAGUGGUUAACUUCGGGCAGAAUUAUGGUGGUAUCGGGGCAGAGCCUCCUUAAAAAUAUGCUUCACCUCAAAUCAUGUGAGUCAACAUUUUUCAGUUUCAGUUAUUAAUUUUAACCAUUAUAAUCUGUGAUUUUUAAUCCAAAAACUUGUGGUUUUCUGCUUGCCUUCCACUUGGAUCUGCCUCAUCUCCUGCAUGUUUAUUUCUGCUUAACCUUUUCAUGACAACAUUAACCAAAGGGGGGUUUUAGGAGCACAAUAUGCAUAUAAUUUUUUUGGGGGGGGGUGGGGAGUCAGCCAAAAUCACAGAUUUCCAGUCUUACACAAUAGAAGAUUUUCAAUUUGACCAACCCUUCCCACCCACUGUGGUGAGUGUUCUCUUUUACAGCCAUCAGCAUUCUCAAGGCAGCUGAAUAUGAGUCUGUAAUUACAAGGGAAACAAUGGCUGCAGGGCAGGAAAUGUGCAUGAAAUAUAACGCAGCUGAGAGCAGCAUUAGCCCAAAGUGCUCUAAUGGUUUUAGGACCUCACCAGGUGGUAAGCCAUCUCCCUGGAUUUUCAUUUCCACCCACCAUUUACCAGGUAACCUUUGCCCAGUCACUUACCUUCCCAGGGUGCUGUCCUCAGAAUGGAUGAUGGGAUUGGUCAUUUGCUGGCCUGGCAGGGGGAUAUCCCAGCUGGAUGAGGUCAUGCAGACAAAGCUUACAGAAAGUGACUGCAAGAGAUAGCUUCAUUUGGAGACCUAGGAGAACACUGGACCAAGAAAAAUGUCAAUGAAAGCAAGGGGUAACAUGAACCCCCACUUAAAUUGAGAAGGGUAGAAAGCAGAGCUCAUCUAAUUCAUGAUGAUACAAUUCUCUCUCGUUGCAUAUAGUUUUAUUUGUCUUUGGUUUUUGUUUCCUUUUAAAAUAGACUUUCUAUGGUCAUUACCAGUGUUUAGAGAAAGAAACUCAGAAUCAGAACACCUGGAUUCAACCCCAGGUUUCUGCUAUGCAGAAAAUUUGCACUUAGCAUGCACCUGAGAGAACAAUCAUUCCCAAGGAAGUAGGAACAGAUAAUAAUGAACUCGCUUUCAUUGAAAUAAACAAAUGUCCUCCUUUCGGUUGAAAAAGACGAGAGUCAUUUUUGAGGAGAGUACAUUAUCUGUCAUUCAGAUUUAUUUUACUGUCCAGAUCCCAUCUGGAUUUAUGUACUGAGUGUGGUGUUGAAUAGGGAGGAUGUAAGAAAAAAAUAAUAAAGAGCUGCUUUAUUUCCUAAAGUCACUAAGACAUUGGGAUGUGAGCAGCACCACUGUG
rnacentral:lncRNA from 1 species